rnacentral:lncRNA from 1 species
UGUGACAGAGGAAACCCUGCAAAGAAGUAACGACAAUGUGUCCUGUUUUUAGCUUCCAAGAAACAGAGAAACUGAGUCAUUGGUAGGUGUCAAUCAAUGACAAGUAAAAAAGCAGGAGCUGGAAGAAGAAGGGUAUUGAUGCAGAAUAUAUAAUCAUCAGUGAGAGAGGGAUCAAGUAAGAGGUCUACACAAUUCACAAAUACACAGAGAAAAGAAGAUAGAGAGAGGGUGAGAGAAAAGCUACGUGAGAGUGUGACUUGUUUUUUCAUAAAAGCUUGUUCAUCUUUGGUUUUCUUCUUUGGGUUAAAUCUCUGUAACGGUGAGUGACGUGAGCUUGGUAAGUGAUCUUUCUUGUUCUCUGCAUCAAGGAUAUUACCCUUGUGAGCUGGUGUAAGCUCACCGAGACGUACUGAGAUCACGUUGAUCUUGGGAACUCGUAUAUCCUGGUGUUCUUAAGUUUCU